GGAUUAGAUACCCUGGUAGUCCACGCUGUAAACGAUGAGAACUAGAUGUCGGAGGAAUCUGUCCUUCGGUGUCGCAGCUAACGCGUUAAGUUCUCCGCCUGGGGAGUACGCCGGCAACGGUAAAACUCAAAGGAAUUGACGGGGACCCGCACAAGCGGUGGAGCAUGUGGUUUAAUUCGAUGCAACGCGAAGAACCUUACCUGCCCUUGACAUUGACAGAAUCCUGUAGAGAUACGGGAGUGCUUCGGCCUGGAAAACAGGUGCUGCAUGGCUGUCGUCAGCUCGUGCCG
rnacentral:rRNA from 1 species